GAUGAACGCUGGCGGCGUGCCUAAUACAUGCAAGUCGAGCGAACGGACGAGAAGCUUGCUUCUCUGAUGUUAGCGGCGGACGGGUGAGUAACACGUGGAUAACCUACCUAUAAGACUGGGAUAACUUCGGGAAACCGGAGCUAAUACCGGAUAAUAUUUUGAACCGCAUGGUUCAAAAGUGAAAGACGGUCUUGCUGUCACUUAUAGAUGGAUCCGCGCUGCAUUAGCUAGUUGGUAAGGUAACGGCUUACCAAGGCAACGAUGCAUAGCCGACCUGAGAGGGUGAUCGGCCACACUAGACCUGAGACACGGUCCAGACUCCUACGGGAGGCAGCAGUAGGGAAUCUUCCGCAAUGGGCGAAAGCCUGACGGAGCAACGCCGCGUGAGUGAUGAAGGUCUUCGGAUCGUAAAACUCUGUUAUUAGGGAAGAACAUAUGUGUAAGUAACUGUGCACAUCUUGACGGUACCUAAUCAGAAAGCCACGGCUAACUACGUG
rnacentral:rRNA from 1 species